UACGUAGGGUGCGAGCGUUGUCCGGAAUUAUUGGGCGUAAAGAGCUCGUAGGCGGUGUGUCGCGUCGGUCGUGAAAACUUGGGGCUUAACCCUGAGCUUGCGGUCGAUACGGGCAUCACUGGAGUUCGGCAGGGGAGACUGGAAUUCCUGGUGUAGCGGUGAAAUGCGCAGAUAUCAGGAGGAACACCGGUGGCGAAGGCGGGUCUCUGGGCCGAUACUGACGCUGAGGAGCGAAAGCGUGGGGAGCGAACAGG
rnacentral:rRNA from 1 species